rnacentral:misc_RNA from 1 species
AACGCACGAGACCUGCGGACCUGCGGAGGGAUCAUUACAGGACUCGCAAGACUCCUACAACCCUGUGAACUUAACUAUAAGCACGUUGCUUCGGCGGGUGUCUCGGCGAGGGUCCUCCCUCCCCGGGGCGCUAAGCCCGCCGGCAGCCUACUAUACUCUGUCUCUUUGCGUUGGCAUCUCGAGUACAAACAAACAAGUUAAAACUUUUAGCAAUGGAUCUCUAGAUCGGAAGAGCACACG